rnacentral:rRNA from 1 species
CCUACGGGUGGCAGCAGUGGGGAAUAUUGGACAAUGGGCGAAAGCCUGAUCCAGCCAUGCCGCGUGUGUGAAGAAGGCCUUCGGGUUGUAAAGCACUUUCAGUGGGGAAGAAAGCCUUGGGGCUAAUACCCUCGAGGAAGGACAUCACCCACAGAAGAAGCACCGGCUAACUCCGUGCCAGCAGCCGCGGUAAUACGGAGGGUGCGAGCGUUAACCGGAAUUACUGGGCGGAAAGCGCGCGUAGGCGGUCUGAUAAGCCGGUUGUGAAAGCCCCGGGCUCAACCUGGGAACGGCAUCCGGAACUGUCAGGCUAGAGUGCAGGAGAGGAAGGUAGAAUUCCCGGUGUAGCGGUGAAAUGCGUAGAGAUCGGGAGGAAUACCAGUGGCGAAGGCGGCCUUCUGGACUGACACUGACGCUGAGGUGCGAAAGCGUGGGUAGCAAACAGGAUUAGAUACCCGGGUAGUC